UACGAAGGGGGCUAGCGUUGCUCGGAAUCACUGGGCGGAAAGGGUGCGUAGGCGGGUCUUUAAGUCAGGGGUGAAAUCCUGGAGCUCAACUCCAGAACUGCCUUUGAUACUGAGGAUCUUGAGUUCGGGAGAGGUGAGUGGAACUGCGAGUGUAGAGGUGAAAUUCGUAGAUAUUCGCAAGAACACCAGUGGCGAAGGCGGCCCACUGGCCCGAUACUGACGCUGAGGCACGAAAGCGUGGGGAGCAAACAGG
rnacentral:rRNA from 1 species